rnacentral:rRNA from 1 species
GUGGUUUAAUUCGACGCUACGCGAAGAACCUUACCUGGACUUGAACUGCUGGAGGUAGGAGCCCGAAAGGGUAACGACCCGGAGCAAUCCGGGAACCAGCAGAGGUGCUGCAUGGCUGUCGUCAGCUCGUGUCGUGAGAUGUUGGGUUAAGUCCCGCAACGAGCGCAACCCUUGCCCUUAGUUGCCAGCGGGUAAUGCCGGGCACUCUAAGGGGACGCCCCGGAUAACGGGGAGAAGGCGGGGAUGACGUCAAGUCAGCAUGGCCUUUAUAUCCAGGGCUACACACGUGCUACAAUGGGCGGUACAGAGGGAGGCAAAGCCGCGAGGUAGAGCUAAUCCCUAAAGCCGUCCUCAGUUCGGAUCGCAGGCUGCAACUCGCCUGCGUGAAGUCGGAAUCGCUAGUAACCGCGGAUCAGCUACGCCGCGGUGAAUACGUUCUCGGGCCUU